UUUUUUUUUUUUUUUUUUAAGAUUUAUUUAUUCAUGAGAGACACACAGAGAAAGGCAGAGACACAGAGGGAGAAGCAGGCUUUCUGUAGGGAACCUGAUGCGAGACUCGAUCCCCAAGACCUGGGAGUCACGACCUGAGCUAUAGGCAGAUGCUCAACCACUGAGCCACCCAGGCGCCCUAGAAGUGGAGUUUUUAAAAGGAAACAGGAGUUAAGGGGGCCACAGGCUCUAAGGCAGGCAAGGAAGGAUGUGCUUGAUCUAGCUAAGGGCCACAGGGCCAGUGACCUGCAGCGGGAUUUUCAUGCAGUGCAGGGGUGGAGGUUAAAGUGAGGGAUCGGCUGUCCCAGGGGAGGGGGGGAACCAUGGCCAGAACCAUCAGUGGGACCAGUCGGCGGUGGCUCAGGAGCACAAGGCUAUGCCGGAUGUUCUGCAGGGGACAUCCAAGGUGGCCCAUCACCCACAUGACAUCCUGCAGCUAGAUGCCAUUUCUUCUUGACGUCCAGGAGGCAGAUAGAGGAAAGAAAGGGAGAGAGAAAACCAUCCUCAUGUUGGGAAAUGGCUGAGUACCAACAACGUAAGGUGUAUCAUCAAGACUUAAUUGUUCUGUCCCCACAUAGCCUGGAAGUCCACCUCUUUGACUUUAAGACAGCGAGGGUUAAGGAAGGCCCUUGCAGUUCGAGUGUCAGGAGGGCAAGCACCCACAUUGCCCUUUUCUCAAGGGUUCACACACAAGAGGAGGGGAAAGCCAAGUGGCAGAAAUGAGGCAGGGGUGCUCACUCUGCUCUACAGACAGAGUUGGGGUGAGGAUGGGGUGGGGAGGCUAGUAAGGGAAGGACUAGAAAAGCUCACGGUAACCUGUAAAAUAGGGACUUUAGAUACCUGGCAGGAGACUGAGCACCAACCCUUUAAAGACUUAGUAAAACAUGGAUCAUUCCAGAAAAAUGCACACAGAACACGGCAUGCAAUUUAAGAAACUUACAGACCCGCCGGCAGGCCAUCCAUGGAUCUCCCAGGGUAGAUCCCCUCUGCUGUAUCUCACCAACUUCUUCUGGUACCUCGUACCUCCGCUUCUGACCACCACCACUGAAAUCAAGUCCAUCCCCGCCUCAGUUCACUAUCACCUCUCCUACAAAAUAGCAGAGACUAACUCCCAAUAUCGACAACAGCCGCAACAUUUGUAUUUCCUGGUCUCUGAGAAUCAUCUCUUAAUGUGUUCUUAGCGGCCUCGGAUUUAAAAAAUAAAAUUCCAAAGCAAAAAAUGAUGUCACUGUCAGAAUUACUUUUCACCUGCACACAGCAGCCAACCAAACGCUAAAAGAGAAUGAAGUAUAUAUGUACAUUCAUGUUUCAGAAUCCUAUUAUAGGAAACUUAAUACAGAUCUGCUUCCCUUUCUUUGUAAAAUUCCAGGCACCUGACAUUUCACUGCCAUUGGGUACUCUCGGAAAGGUUAUGUUUUUAUAAUGGAAAAAUUCUCACUGACCCACUGGGGUUUCUACUUCCUCACUCAUCAAUUAAAAUCAUCAGCAAAUUUCAGCUUGCUUUUAGUGAAGUACAGGUAAGUGUCUUAACGUUCCCAACCUGCAAAGGAGAGGACAUGGAUGAAAUGCCACAUCCACCUGGUCAUUUACCAAUCUACAACUGAAGCUUGGAAGCUAUAAUCUUUGGGGAAGGGGGAGCCAAAUUUUCUCAGAAAUGGAUACUUGGUUUUCCAGCUUCCAGGUGCAUGUGAAGCCUUCCCUACCUUCAGCCCAUCCCCAUCUGUAAGAUAGGCUAUAUUAUCCUCCGAGAUGAAUCAUCUUCAAUUCAGCCUUUCUGCAGUCUUGUUUGCUGGAGUCUGCUGACAGAGGCUGGAGGCACUCUGCAUUUACCCCUUUUUCCUUACAUUGAAUCAAUUAGCAAUGUUAAAUAUUUAACACAUUAGUCUUAUUUCGCUGAACAAAACAAUUCGCAAGCAGCCUGGGUAGUGGCAGUGCAAGAUAGGGAACAGACCAGACGUGGAGAAAAUUGAACGCAGGGAAAAGUAUGUUUUAGGUGAAUGUGUAUUUUAAAAUAUAUAAAAAUCUAUUCACAAUUCACUGAAGAUGGAUUGCUUGUUUCUUUCCUUUUCCUGACAGGUCCUGAAUCUUUAUAGAGAACAUUAAAUUAAAGCGCAUAAUGGGUUUAUGUAGCGUAGUGCGCAUUGGAGACAUUAGUCACGUCCCUUAAGCAUUUUUCUCAUUUUCUAAGCCUGACUUAAGCCCCAUUUCCCCAUUGAUGAGGGAAGUCCAUAUGAACCCACAGACCACAUCUGCAGUCUGGUGUGCCUUUUUUUUUUUCCCCCUAUUUGGUGUUGUCAACAGAGGCGGAUGUCCCGCACUCAAAAUCAUCCCAGAGUAUUACAUUUCCAGAACAGUUUAUAGGAAACAGUGAGAAGCAAAUAGGGUCAUUCUAGGGAGAAACUGUUUUGUUCUUCCCCUUUUUCUCUUUAAAACACAGUGGCAUCAAGUGGGAGGGAAAAAACCCCAACUCCGAGCUGUCCUGCAGAACCCUGAAUGGACGAGUCAGACAAUUUCUACUCAAGCACAAAGGCCAAAUCCUCCUAUAAUGCAGCUAGGAGCUUAGAAGCAACACAGGUCACUCAGGGCUGUUGUUUGUGUGGCCCAGUACAUUCUACGCCAGUAUCAGCAUACGUUAUCAAUCUCCUAAUCUGGUAUGAUGCUUUAACGUGAUUACCAGGAGGCAGUCCUGUCUAUCUAGCGUGGAGCUUACAAUGUUACAGUGUCGGGCUGACCCACAGAAGUGCUCUUUAAGAGAUCCCCAAACCGUACAACUGCUUAGCAGGGCAAAUCUGAUGCUAAUGAGGAAACGGAAAAGAACCGGUUGCUUGCCAUGUAGCUAGAUUUCAUUAGCAUUAUACAAACUCCUGCAUCAUAUUAUUUUUUACUGUGAAAUGAUUAGAGCCCUUGAUCUCUGCCUGGGAGCACUACUACCCCAGCGCACUGUGUCAGGCUUGAAGGAAAAAGGCAUUUUGAUGGGAUUCAAAGAGAAAAAUAAGAUUACUAUAGCAAGCUUCCACAAUAACCUCCUGUAUGAAUCUGGGGGUAGUCUCAUCGUAUCCUUAUCAAGUACUUUUUAGUGGUUCUAGACAGCUAUGCUCUGAGUGACAGGAAGGGUUUUUAUAAAACUUAAAAUCAGCAGAAAGAAGAGGUCUGGUUAAUGCCUUGGCAUAUGAAGCCCACAGCCUUCCCAUAGGAAUCUCAGGCAGGAAAUAAAUUUACUUUGGUUACAAUAGCUAACAUUGACAGAGCCCUUACCAAGCGCCUUAUACUGCAACAAGCAUUUUACAGCUAUAAACAGACAGACAUAGAUAUAUAGAUAUUCUCACACCCUCACAAGGGAGAUCUUAUUCUACAGAUAAGAAAACCAGGGCUCAGACAGGUUAAGUUACCACGUGCAGUCACACAGCUGGUAUGGGAAAAGCUAAAUCCUGAUUCUCAAGAGUCUUAUCCAGAAUCUGCCUUCCUCACUGUGCUAUUUUACUUCCUGUAUUUGAAAUCCUUAGAUUUUUAUCCCCCCACCAACUGGUCAAUUUUGAUCAAACUGUCACUGUAACGUUUUACAGGAAUGAACCAUAGAACCGAUGUUAAGUUUUAAGGUGGGAAUUUCAAAUGCAUUUGCCUGGGUUUUCCUUGGUGUUUUGAUGAGCACAUUAGCAUUAAUUCUAGACUAGAUUUCUGCUGGAAUGGGUAUCAAGUAAUUUACUGUCUUCCAGUUCAGAGUGGGCAGCAAACAUGAUUUCCAUGUAUCCAAUCCAUAAUGCAUUGUGGGACUCCAGAAAUAAAACCAGGAUUUUCAGAGAUGUUCAUUUAACCGUACAGGUAAUUAAUAGUUUAUAUGUUAUUUACUUGCUGGUGGGGAUGUUAGGAGCCACAAACACCAUGAAAAAGCCUCCAUCAUCUCCCCCACCCUAGAAUACCCUAACACCAGACCCAUAAGGACUUAGCACCCUACCUCUACAGAGGUUCUUGGUCCACCAGAGCGGAUGAAGGCAGAACUAGUUUGACAUUUCCUGCUGACUGUGAUUAGAGCAUCUUUUAAUGAAGCUCACUUCAAAUCAUUUUAAAUCCAUUUGCUCAUGUCAACAUCAAUGUACUCAGCAUUAUCUACCAAUUAGUAAACCGGAAAAUAUUCUUUAGAUAAUCUGAAAUCUCAGUAAAAUAUUCAGCAUGCCAUUCAUUUACUAUAAACUGCCCUGUAAAAACAAAUUAGCAAAACCAGCUGUCACAGGACAACAUAAACAUCCAUUAAUACAGCCCAACUACUUCAGUCUCCAGCGAGAUUUUUAAGGAAAGAUAAAAUGCAGUAAAUAUAUAAGUCAACAAGAAUUGCAAAUGCUAGGCAUGCCUCUGUGCCAAUGUGCUGCACCACUAUGAAACCGUACCUUCAUCUUCCCUACAUGUGAGAUCAAAUUUGGACUGGAAAGAAAGGAGUUAAAUGAAACAUUCUUAACAAUUCUUUCAACGAAGAGCCCAAGUCAUGGUGCUGCAGUAAGUUUAGAAGGCCAAUAGAGUUCUAACAUAUGUCAUGCUUCAUAAAGAUCAGAAAUGUCAAAGAGCAUGAAAGCUGACCAGAUAGGAAUGGGAUUAUGAAUAUGCAAAUAAGCAAUCAAUUCAAUCGCAAGACCCAGAUUUCGCACGACUCACUUAUACGACACCGCAGAAAGCAGCUUCCAAACUUACAGGAAGCCAGUGAGUAAGUACAUCACUUACCAGCCAACAUUGACUCGUCCUUUCCACAAAUCAGCCUGACAAAAUUCUAUAAUUUAAAUAUGGCAAUAUUUCAAUAGCCACCUUCCACUUAGGACUCUUUCAGUAUUUUUCAUUUUAAUGCAUUGGUUAUAAAUAAACUGCGGCAGCACCUGUUAAGAGGGAUUAAAAAUGCUUUUAUAUUAUGAGAGACCGGGUGAGAGCUUGUUCUCUGAUGAACACACUCGUGAUAUGCGGAAGACGUCUGCAGUGGAAGAGCAGUCUUCUUCAACAAUGAUUUCCAUUUAAGAAUCUAAAUUAGGCUUCAGUCACUGAUGACUACUUCGACCUUCUAAACGAUAUGGAACACUUCAGAGUGGGUACCUAACACAAAGGCUGCCGAUCACAGGAUGGAACAUGCUCGAGCAAUGCAAACCCAACUGACUGAAGGUAGAAAAGCUGGAGGAUGCAAGCCUGUGCUUUCCUUAGCAGAGCCAUGAUCCCCAAAAGGAUGGAUAGAAGCACCAGAACCAAAACAGAAGAUGCCCGGUCUCACAAAGUGGUUCCUAAAUGUUUACCAGGCCAGUCAACUUUCUAGGACAUUUCCAUUUUGCUUUACUAAGCAUACCAAGGCAUUACGGAAAAACGCUCUAAAGCAGGGGGCUUGUCCGGCGCCUGGGUGGCUCAGUGGUUGAGUGUCUGCCUUCAGCUCAGGGGGUUAAGCCGGGCUCCUGGGAUCGAGUCCCACACAUCAGGUUCCCUGUAGGGAGCCUGCUUCUCCCUCUAGCUAUGUCUCUGCUUCUCUCUGUCUCUCUCAUGAAUAAAUAAAUAAAAUCUUUAAAAUAAAAAUAAAACAGGGGGCUUGUCACCAGGCCCCUCCUCAAAGGCUGUGCAGCAUGGAAAAAGAAGAGACAUAAAAGGGCUAUUUGGACUAAUACUAUUGUAAUCUUAAAAUUUUUUUCAAAAGGAGGGAAGAAAUCUAAAAUAUUCUCAUUCGUUCGUGAGUUAAUGUGUUUACAGAAACAGUAGGGUUUACUCCUAACUCUACAGCAAGCCGAGGCUAAAACAUAAGGACCUUCAAACAAAAGGGAAAAAAAUUUUUUUCCUCUAAAUCACAAACCAAGUCACAUCUAUGCAUCCUCUGGGGAGAAAUCAUAAACUUAAGUUUACACUUUUCUUCUUGACAUUAAUUAUUAAGAAAAGCUUUUCAUCUUGAUUAUAGCCAUUAAUAAAUUAAAAGUGAAUAUAUUUCUAUAAGUAUUUCAUUUCAUAACCAGGUGUUACACUCAGCCUGUGGGUUUCAUGCACAAAUAGACUCGUUAAAAAACAUUCUGCAUAUGGUAUCCAUAAGAAAGUAGAAACCAAGAAUUUGCAAUCUGCAAAAUUCCCUACUUCCAACACUUACCAGAAUUGAACAUUUUUCCAUGUUUUGCAAAACGGAUACAUGUUCACUGAAAAGAAAAAAAAGAUCGAGCUACACAUAAAAUUACAAAUAAGAUUGUAAAGCACCACAUUAUGUGCGACGGGAAGGGACUGGGAAGUAGCAGGAGUGGCAGCCAGAUUUGGGGCUUUUGCUACAAAUGAGGGCUCUCCCAGAACACGUGAUAUGCCAAGUCGACAAGAACAGAUAAAACUUCAUGAAUGGAAUAUUUGUUACGUGUGUGUGAAGACUAAAAUUUCUAAAGAAAGCAAUUAAUAACUUAGUUAUCCUGGAAAUAGCUCAUGUGCCUUACAUCUCGGGGGGGUGGGAGGUAGUGAUUCAGAAAGGCAAAAGAAUGUGCCAGUAAAGGGUGAGGUGGGGGGGGGGUAAGAACCUUAUUUUAGUUCUUUUGUGGGUUUGGGGUUUUGAAUAUUUAAAAACAGAAACCAGAUGCGCCAAAUUUUCAUUCAUCUCGGCAUCAGUAGAUGAAUAUAAAUCUACGGGAAAAUCCAGACGGGGCACAAUACCUACCUGCAAUGCAAAAUAUAUAUUCCACCCUAUUAGAUGCUGGCUCAAGAAUUAAACAUUCUGAAAGGACACAUGCUUAUAUAAGCUUGGGUUUCCACUUCUAUAAUUAGAGUCAUGUCUAAGUAUAAUCACUUACCUUUCCUACAAGGCACUUCAACCACUCCACUAUGAUAAUGAUAGCUAAUACCCAGUGCUCACUAGGUCCUAGGGCUGGUUCUAAUGAUUUUCUACAUAUUAACCUAAUUCAACAAGUAGUGUCUAUAAGGUAGACACUACUAUCCUAUUUCAUAGAUGAAGAUACUGAGGUCCAGAGAGGUUGAAGGACUUGCCUAAGGUCACCAAGAAAGGCAGUAGCAGGCCAGGAUUGGAGCUCCUGGUGGGCUGACUCCCAUGCCACUAUAACAAGGUGUGGGAGACAUGGCUUUUGGAUGGCACAAAACUAAGUUGUCUCUAAUCCAUAUGGAAGUGGAACUGUUUCAUUAUAACCAUGGUAUCCUCUAUUUCCAGAGCUUUUGUUUUAACCUUGUCCCAUUACUCAAGACAAGUCAUGACUCUGACCAUCAGUUUUCUAUUCAGCAAAAUUUAGUAACGCCUACUUCGUAUGAUAUUGCACGACACGACACAACACACGUUCAAGUACUUUGUAGACUACGACAUCUGUCUGAAGUGUUAGUUGCCAUAAUAAUGAUUAAACUUUUCAUAGUGUCAGCUCCUCGCCUCCAUGUUAGACCACUGGACAGGCCCAUUAAUUACAUGUGUUAAGAAUAAAAACUAAAUAAAGAACCAAGUGCCAGAGUAGCUUGAAAUUGUCUUCAAGUAGCCUGAUUAAACUAGCCAUUGACAAUGAAACAACAUCCUUGGUAGGGCAUUGUGUCAAAAAGCCCAUUUAGCUAGCCUAAUUUAUUCCAGGAGAAAAAAAAAAAAACAUAAAAACCUUACAGAUACUAUUAGAAAGUAAGCUAUCAUCCAUUAAAACUAAAGUUGAAUGGGAAAAUUUUAAGAAAUGCAAUACAUUUGUCAAAAAGUCAAGUAAUAUUUCUUGCCAUUCAUUAACAAUUAUAAAGCACUAAAACUUCAAAGCCCUGUACAAAUUAGGAUGCCUGCACAGAACAGAACCAGAAAAUAUUAUAUAUCACUCAAUACAUUUACUAAGUGCCUGCUAUGUAGAGACUAGAACUCCUUCGAUGCAAGGAUAUUAAAAAAAAAAAAAAGAAAGAAAGAAAAAAGAAAA
rnacentral:lncRNA from 1 species